AAAGCGUGCGCAGGCGGUUAUACAAGACAGGCGUGAAAUCCCCGGGCUUAACCUGGGAAUGGCGUCUGUGACUGUAUGACUAGAGUGUGUCAGAGGGGGGUAGAAUUCCACGUGUAGCAGUGAAAUGCGUAGAUAUGUGGAGGAAUACCAAUGGCGAAGGCAGCCCCCUGGGAUAACACUGACGCUCAUGCACGAAAGCGUGGGGAGCAAACAGGAUUAGAUACCCGGGU
rnacentral:rRNA from 1 species